CCCUUAGAUGUUCUGGGCUGCACGCGCGCUACACUGAAGCUAUCAACACGUUUUCCCUCCCUGAGAAGGGCGGGUAACCUUUUGAAUCAGCUUCGUGGCAGGGAUCGGGGCUUGCAAUUGUUCCCCGUGAACCAGGAAUUCCUAGUAGACGCGAGUCAUAAGCUCGCAUCGAUUAAGUCCCUGCCCUUUGUACACACCGCCCGUCGCUACUACCGAUUGAACGUUUUAGUGAGGCAUUUGGACCGACGCAUCUCAGUUUAACCGCUGGUUUGUGUUGGAAAGACUUCCAAACUUGAGCGUUUAGAGGAAGUAAAAGUCGUAACA
rnacentral:rRNA from 1 species